rnacentral:rRNA from 1 species
GAACGAUGAAGCCCUUCGGGGUGGAUUAGUGGCGAACGGGUGAGUAACACGUGGGCAAUCUGCCCUUCACUCUGGGACAAGCCCUGGAAACGGGGUCUAAUACCGGAUAACACCUUCCACUGCAUGGUGGGGGGUUAAAAGCUCCGGCGGUGAAGGAUGAGCCCGCGGCCUAUCAGCUUGUUGGUGGGGUGAUGGCCUACCAAGGCGACGACGGGUAGCCGGCCUGAGAGGGCGACCGGCCACACUGGGACUGAGACACGGCCCAGACUCCUACGGGAGGCAGCAGUGGGGAAUAUUGCACAAUGGGCGAAAGCCUGAUGCAGCGACGCCGCGUGAGGGAUGACGGCCUUCGGGUUGUAAACCUCUUUCAGCAGGGAAGAAGCGAAAGUGACGGUACCUGCAGAAGAAGCGCCGGCUAACUACGUGCCAGCAGCCGCGGUAAUACGUAGGGCGCAAGCGUUGUCCGGAAUUAUUGGGCGUAAAGAGCUCGUAGGCGGCUUGUCACGUCGGAUGUGAAAGCCCGGGGCUUAACCCCGGGUCUGCAUUCGAUACGGGCUAGCUAGAGUGUGGUAGGGGAGAUCGGAAUUCCUGGUGUAGCGGUGAAAUGCGCAGAUAUCAGGAGGAACACCGGUGGCGAAGGCGGAUCUCUGGGCCAUUACUGACGCUGAGGAGCGAAAGCGUGGGGAGCGAACAGGAUUAGAUACCCUGGUAGUCCACGCCGUAAACGUUGGGAACUAGGUGUUGGCGACAUUCCACGUCGUCGGUGCCGCAGCUAACGCAUUAAGUUCCCCGCCUG